rnacentral:rRNA from 1 species
GAUGAACGCUAGCUCCAGGCUUAACACAUGCAAGUCGCGGGGCAGCAUGGGGGUUGCUUGCACUCCCCGAUGGCGACCGGCGCACGGGUGAGUAACGCGUAUCCAACCCGCCCUUCACCACGGGAUAACCCGGCGAAAGUCGGACUAAUACCGUAUGUUGUCCAUUGACGGCAUCCGAUUUGGACGAAAGGUUUGGCGGUGAAGGAUGGGGAUGCGUCCGAUUAGCUGGACGGCGGGGUGACGGCCCACCGUGGCGACGAUCGGUAGGGGUUCUGAGAGGAAGGUCCCCCACACUGGAACUGAGACACGGUCCAGACUCCUACGGGAGGCAGCAGUGAGGAAUAUUGGUCAAUGGGCGUAAGCCUGAACCAGCCAAGUAGCGUGCAGGAUGACGGCCCUAUGGGUUGUAAACUGCUUUUAUGCGGGGAUAAAGUGGCCCACGUGUGGGUUUUUGCAGGUACCGCAUGAAUAAGGACCGGCUAAUUCCGUG